rnacentral:rRNA from 1 species
UGGGGAAUAUUGCACAAUGGGCGCAAGCCUGAUGCAGCCAUGCCGCGUGUGUGAAGAAGGCCUUCGGGUUGUAAAGCACUUUCAGCGAGGAGGAAGGUGGUGGACUUAAUACGUUCAUCAAUUGACGUUACUCGCAGAAGAAGCACCGGCUAACUCCGUGCCAGCAGCCGCGGUAAUACGGAGGGUGCAAGCGUUAAUCGGAAUUACUGGGCGUAAAGCGCACGCAGGCGGUUUGUUAAGUCAGAUGUGAAAUCCCCGGGCUCAACCUGGGAACUGCAUUUGAAACUGGCAAGCUAGAGUCUCGUAGAGGGGGGUAGAAUUCCAGGUGUAGCGGUGAAAUGCGUAGAGAUCUGGAGGAAUACCGGUGGCGAAGGCGGCCCCCCUGGACGAAGACUGACGCUCAGGUGCGAAAGCGUGGGGCAGCAAACAGGAUUAGAUACCCUGGUAGUCCAGCGCUGUAAACGAUGUCGAUUUGGAGGUUGUGCCCUUGAGGCGUGGCUUCCGGAGCUAACGCGUUAAAUCGACCGCCUGGGGAGUACGGCCGCAAGGUU